GACGAACGCUGGCGGCGUGCUUAACACAUGCAAGUCGAACGGAAAGGCCCUGCUUUUGUGGGGUGCUCGAGUGGCGAACGGGUGAGUAACACGUGAGUAACCUGCCCUUGACUUUGGGAUAACUUCAGGAAACUGGGGCUAAUACCGGAUAGGAGCUCCUGCUGCAUGGUGGGGGUUGGAAAGUUUCGGCGGUUGGGGAUGGACUCGCGGCUGAUCAGCUUGUUGGUGGGGUAGUGGCUUACCAAGGCUUUGACGGGUAGCCGGCCUGGGAGGGUGACCGGCCUCAUUGGGACUGAGAUACGGCCCAGACUCCUACGGGAGGCAGCAGUGGGGAAUAUUGUACAAUGGGCGGAAGCCUGAUGCAGCAACGCCGCGUGCGGGAUGACGGCCUGCGGGUUGUAAACCGCUUUCGCCUGUGACGAAGCGUGAGUGACGGUAAUGGGUAAAGAAGCACCGGCUAACUACGUG
rnacentral:rRNA from 1 species